GUUCGAAUUUGUUCAGGUUUAAGAGCAAUACACAAAGCCAAACAAAGGCUAUACAGACAUAAAUAUGAACAAAUCUGUACAGCAUUUGUUCAUAUCAAACUAUCAAAUUUCUUUAUUAAAAUUUGUGGAUGUCAAUUUACAAAUUGGUAACAAGUCCUUCAAAAAUAUUGGCGUUUCUAGAUCAACAUUAUAGCACCGUAGAGAGAGAGAGAGAGAGAGAG
rnacentral:misc_RNA from 1 species